GACGAACGCUGGCGGCGUGCUUAACACAUGCAAGUCGAACGGAAAGGCCCUGCUUUUGUGGGGUGCUCGAGUGGCGAACGGGUGAGUAACACGUGAGUAACCUGCCCUUGACUUUGGGAUAACUUCAGGAAACUGGGGCUAAUACCGGAUAGGAGCUCCUGCUGCAUGGUGGGGGUUGGAAAGUUUCGGCAGUUGGGGAUGGACUCGCGGCUUAUCAGCUUGUUGGUGGGGUAGUGGCUUACCAAGGCUUUGACGGGUAGCCGGCCUGAGAGGGUGACCGGCCACAUUGGGACUGAGAUACGGCCCAGACUCCUACGGGAGGCAGCAGUGGGGAAUAUUGCACAAUGGGCGGAAGCCUGAUGCAGCAACGCCGCGUGCGGGAUGACGGCCUUCGGGUUGUAAACCGCUUUCGCCUGUGACGAAGCGUGAGUGACGGAAAUGGGUAAAGAAGCACCGGCUAACUACGUG
rnacentral:rRNA from 1 species